GAAGAAUAUGAAGCACAAAAAACAGUUGUGUUCACAGGUUGACAUCCACCAUCUCUCUUCCUUUGCACCAUCUUCUCUCUUUGUCAAGAGCGACACAGCAUGAAAGGGGAGAAAGAUGUGCUGAGGCUGCAGUAAGCUCUCAGUGUCUCCUACCCCCUUUCCCCUCUUCUGCUGUACACACCUCUCCUUUCAUAGUGUUUUGAGUGGAGCAGUGGAUCACAGACUGUUAUUAGGAAAAGGAUCUUGCCAUUAUAGACCCAUCUCCGAGAUUACCAAUAUCCCUUGCAUCUGCAGAACUGGGUAGGGAAAUUCGUAAGAAUGUGUUUUUUCACUGAGAGAUUUUUGGAGACACCUUCCUAUCAAGAUGUAGUACCUGAUUAUAAAAUGGCUCCCUCCAAAGCGAGUAUCUCCCAGUCAACUUCCCCAAAAUUUAAGGCAGGGAGGAAGGGAAAAAGCAAUGAUUUCAAGUUAUCUGAACUCUUUUUCAAGUCACUUAAAUUGUUUGCAGGCUCAGACUAGCAUGGGGGAUGAGUGGAGGUUGUGCUGGAUGCCUGUUGCAUUCAAAUAAAUUGCUCCUCUCCCCAGAGCCCCAUCUCUUGUGUGCAGCCAAAUCAUGUGUGUUUGCAGGAGACAGUAUGCUUGUGUUUCUCCCACGACCCUGCUGGCUCAUUAGUGUUAUUUCUGGAGGUCUAGUUUCCACAGUAACAAGCAAUUACCAUUGUUCCUUGGACUGCCAAAGUUACCACCAGCAACGCAGAGGAAGAUGCGUUAUUCUCUAUAUUGGGAUAAAAUGCCUUCAUAUGUCUUGCUAUUCACUGAAUGCCAAUCUUGACGCAGGUCCUGUGCAAAUAGCACACUCCACCCCCUGCCAAUGCUGCUUUUCCUGGUAUUAAGACAUGCCAGAUUUUGAAACGAUCCAAAAUGAUCUCCUCUGGUCUGUGGCUACACUGGCAACGACAGGGUCAGGAUUUCAGCAGCAGGAUGACUGUACCAAUGGGUAGGAAUAUAAAUAGAAUAGCUUGGAGGCAGUUCUUUUUGCAAUUGUGCUUAGCCCUGUUCUAAGUAAUGCUGGCUAGUGACGUCAAUGAAAUAUAUACUCUCUGUCUUUACCCUAUAGCUUCUACCAGUACUGUGGUGGAGCUCCCACAUAGGAGUCUGGUGGUCUUAUGUUAGCAGGAUCUGUGUCUGUGCUGCACAAUCCUUCAUCAUCCCCAAGGGGCAAUGUGUGUGCAUCAGCUGCACCCAUUUCUUCCAUCAGUGGUUUCUCCUUUCCCUUUUACCUAUACAUUUCACACAGACUGAUUCAUCUAGAAUGGCCUUUAAACCCCAUAGAACAUAUCCUGAAUUUCAUGCACAUAUCAAAAAAGUAAGCAGCUGGGAAGCUGAAGGAAUGCUAGCUUUUGCAGGCUAGAGAAGUGGGGUACUGGAACGCUGGGACCACUAGAUUAGGUUUCAUGGCUUGGAGAGUUUUUAUGGCUUUCAGUGACUCCAGUUUCCAAGUGUGACUACAUAUUCUUAAAAGCUCUGGGGCCCCACUGUAAGCUCUGAGCUCCUCUUCACAGGCUUUUCUUGUGAAUGGGUGUAUCUAUGGAUCUACAUAUACACACCCACUUGCCCAAAUGACUAAUAGUAGGUGUUGGAGGGAGAACACAGCCUUUAGCCUCCAUAAACCAAAGCACAAAGUCUUCCUCCAACGAAGCUGAAGCAAAGAGAUCAAGAGAGGCAUUUUAAAACUGAGGAACUGCCUUUUGUGAAAGGUCUUGGAAACACCUGCACUGGAGAUUUUUAAAACCUGGACUUACCAGAGAAGGUAGAAGACAGUAUCCUAUCAGGUCACUGUAUGAGUGUAGGAGGGUGACAACAAACAAAAAGGGUGCUGCUUUGACAGCUACCAAAAUUGUACUGCUUUAGAUGCCCUUGAGGAAAUAAAACACCAACAGCAAACAUACUGUCUUUUCAUGGGUUGGAGAAAGGGAUAGGCAGAGACAAUUGGUGAUAGGGUCCUUGAUUCCUUUUUCUGAUUAAAGUCCCACCAAGUCUGUGAAAUGAAGGUGGAAGAAGGAGUCAAACACAACUGGAAAAAAAGGGCAUGUAUGUCACAUAUCCAUUUUAGAGGCCAGGCCUAAUUUUUAAGUAUCUCUUAAUUAGUAGGACUGAAGUGUUAGAGUUAUUCUGUUUUCUUGUGGGCUUACCACUGAGUGAAGGCAUCAUCAGAGAAAGGUUAAGAAAAUAGCCUUGGGCAUAUGAGAGCGGUCCUAUCUAAUCCAACAAGCUUCUCUUCUCCUCUUUUCUGUUGCAUCCUCCUAAACCUUUGAAUUUUAGCACAGUCUGUACGAUGGGGAACAAAUAAAUAAAUUUUAAUAACCUUAUUUUCCACACAUAAACCAGAAUCUGGUGUUUAGUUCUAGGUGACAGCUUGGGUGGUUCAAAAUGAGCCGAGGCUUGGCUUGGUAUUUUAAGGAAAAUACUCCCAUCUCAAAAAUAAUCUAAGCCUAAUCUCUUUAUCUGUGAGCUCCAGGGCACCCACUGGCAUCUCACCCUUGCGGUGGGGUGGUGUGCCGAGCUGGCCGACAGACACUAGGUGGAAGCCUUGGGCUGCGGUUCCAUCGCAGCUGCUGACGGCAGGAAGAAGACUUGUGCUUUCAGAAAGGAGAUAUUUUUCUUUUCUUCUUGCUUUCACGUACUAGAAAGGGAAGUCCAAGCUCUCCAGGUGCGCAAUGGGUGAACGGAGGAAUGGAGGAGAAGUGUCAGUCUCAUCCCGGGUCCUCCCUGCAACAGGAUCUUUGCAAUGACUUCAAGAGCUCCAUGGCUGUUCUGCAGACAGAUGCACAAUUGUGAAACAUCAAUAUGGACUGCAAAUCUCUACUGUCAGUCAGCUCCUCUUUCCCUCUGCAUAACGUAAUCCCUAUCUCCACAAUGCCUGCACAGAUACACAUUUGCAAAGAUGUUUUUCUGGAGAUAGUGUGCAUAGCAAACAUUCCCUUACUUGUUCUCAUUUCUAGCAACAUUAUAUGGAGUUUCAGUUCACAGUUCACUGUGUUCCACCUCCUACCACUGAAAUGCAGCCAACUCUGAGCUGUGGCUAUUAAACAUCACACGAGCAACACCACAAAACAGAUUGUGCAAAGCAAAGGAAUUCAGAGAAAAGCAACAAAUUGAGUGAGGUCUGGAAAGGCUAUGUGGGAAGUGAUAACAAAGGAUCAUAGGGAAUGAAUUAAUUGUGAUGCAGAAUAGCCAUCACCGUGAUGUUCAGGUGAUACCAGUAUGCAAGGGUGAGUUUUUGAGGGUGGCACAAAGAGAUGUUACUAGGAGCAACCAGGUUUCAACCAGGGAGACAAACAGGUCAGCUUCCCUAACCACUGAGUUUUGUCAGACUGCCAGACUCCCAAGGAAAGGGCUGCAGGCAUCAUUGCUUGGGGGUUUUAAAACUGGUCCUAGUCUCAAGACAGGACAAGGCACUAUCAGGACAGAUGAAUAAAACAAGAUGGAGCAAGUAGCCGUACCUAUCCCCACUUUGUAUGAGUCUGAGAAAACAACUGGGAGAAAGAUGGCAAGGUCUGAAGGAAUCACAUGUAGAGAGUUAGAAAACAGUGUGAACUGGUGUGACAGUAGCUGUGACGUGGCCAGGAAAAAGCUUCCAAAGGCAGUGCUCUUCUUUGACAACAUGAUGACCUUAGAGUGAGAAAGGAUGAAAAAGAGGAAGAUGUGCAACGAAUCAGAGGAAAGAGAAACGUGUGAAUGUAUGUAGCUGUUUAUGUGUGUGUGUAGCACAAUAGGAAUUUCAUUCAGAUAGAAUAAAGCAUUGUAGGUGUCUGUAUCUUUUUUUCCCUAGACUAAAGGCUGCAAGAGGGCACCUUGGCACAAAACUUGCACGUGAAUUCUUGCUGCUUUAGGUAAAAUCAUGAUUGGGGAAGGUUGCCAGACACUGUCACUGAGCAUUCAAUGGACAACUAAGAAGCAACUGCAAAAGUCUGUUCCCAACUCAAGUUGCAUAGCAACAGUAAAUCGUCAGAUUGCUGUUAUGUCAGUCCCUUACAUUAUCCCCAUUAUUACAGCCAUUUUUAGGAAUCACGCAAUAUGAUGUUACUAGCCCACUCCCAACCUGCAUGUUUGACCUUUGUCUCUUGUUGAAUUAUGCCAUGUAAUUUGCUGCAAAGGUGUCUUGAAGUAGCAUACUGUAGAGAAAAAUCCCUGAGGAUCCAUCAACAGAGACCUUAGGGAGCAAAGGAUGUGCAUGUGCAGGAUGGGGCAGGAGAGACAGAUUAGGGAACAGCAAUAUCCUCAGAGAAAUCUAAUGCCUGUCAAACUCGUCAGGAUGUAUGUUACCCCAUCACUUCUCUGAACUGAGUCUUCAUUGAUCAAAUUGAAAGGCUAUUUUGAGAAGUGAGCCACAGUUGCUCCUAAGAUAUGUGUUUCAAAUGCUUCCAGUGCACACUUAUGCUUGGUGUUUGGAUAACUCCUGUGGACAUUGAUGCUGUGAAAUCCUAAGUUCCAGCCAGCUGUUUCCUGCUUUUCAAGGUAAGCACCUUGUGAGCUGUUUCAUGGUGGAGAUGCUGAAGCACAAAAGUAGUCACAACAUAAUCAUCCUGUGAUGUUUCAGACACCGCCAGUAUCUGAAACAAUAUCUAGAAGUCUACUUGUCUUGCAGGAUAUUUCUAGUAUCCUGCACAAUUUCUUUCCUGGAUGUCCUGUGUAGCACAGCAUCCUCCUCCCUUUUUCACUCUAUUGCUGCUUCUUUUGCUGGCACAAGGUCCUGAAAUGCCCCUGCCAUUUCUUUGCAACCAAGGCAACCAGGAUCACUGGAUACCAAGGUGUAGCUGGUGUUUGAAUGAUGAAAAUAAACUGAAUGAGUUCCUUUACUGCAAACGCCAGACUGACAUGGACUUAGGACACCAGGUAGAGUGAAAAGUAACUUAGAGGCCUCUUACACUAGAUGAUAGGGGAACAGCCUGCUUAAGGAAGUAAUUCUCAGUAAAGUAUCUCCUUUCUGAAGAGUGCCUAGUUGUAAACUAUACCAGCAUUUACAAGAUCCCCACUGCAAAUUAUGAACAAGCAAACAGACUUCAGAAGGACAAGAUAGACUGCCUGUCCCCUCUGUAUAGAGUAAUGGAAUUAUUCUGCUUCAUUAAAACAACUGAUGAGAAAACAAGGAGCCUCAAGAUUCAGUUCCUCUAUGUUUCUGUGCCCAGAAUGCAGAGCGCACUAAUGGCAGAACACCUGGACUAGGAGCUGCAAGUCGCUCUUGCUUGGUAUUAAGGGGAUUGAGCUCGGACGAGGUCUAACACAGCAGAUGAUAAAUGUCCAUGCAUGACAUUGCUAAAAGAGAUCUGAUGGCCAUGGAGUUACCUUUGACAAAGGAACAUCUCUUGAAUGCAAAAUAGCUUAGCAAUCCUUACAAAGAAGGAACAAAAGCUGUUUGUCUGAUUUUCACCUUUCUUCCCUUUAGUACUCCCAUGAACAAGAGUUGCUGGAUGGGACAUCCAAAGAGCUUAUUUCUCCAGGAGAAAGUCUCCUUCUCUUCUCCUGUAUUUUAGAUUUAUCUUGCUUCCCCCUGAGGAUGAAGGAUUUGAAUCAUUAGUGAGACAGCAGGUGUAGGAGUGGUCACUGGUACCCACCAGCUUUGUAGCUCAGUCAUCCUGAGGACCACCUUAAGGAAAAAUUUAUCCAAGGACCCUGCAGAACAAAUAGACUUCAAUGCCCUGUAGCUGCUCCACGUGUUUGUUGACAGCCCUGGUAGUUCAGUGAAGGAGUCAGUACUGAAUUUUAGGCUGUGUCAGCCAGACUGAAGAGUUUUGUGUCUGUUUGUUCCUUGCUGGCAUGGACUGUCUGGAAGUAAAGAUACAAGACUGUUCCAUGGGGCUGAUUGAUGUUUGGUAAUUGUUAUGGCUUUCUCUUUAUAACUUGGUCAUCUAGUUUAUGGUGGAGAUAGAGCUGAGGGUACCCACUGAUGAGUGAGGAUUCUUUUGUCAGACCUUACGCUACAGUCAGACCUCUGGAAGAUUUCUCUCCAUGUAUCUCUAUCAGUUUCAGUCUGUAUGUGUUACCAAGUACCAUCUUUGCAGUGCCUAAGCUUUAUUUGACAAUCUGAGUUUCCCAUAGCCUUUUGAGGAUAACAUUUUGCAGGUUAAAAUGUGCUGAAUAAGGACAAAUGAGAAAUGCAAAAGAAGUGAAAACAGUCGGGUUUUAAAGAAAAUCAUCUUUUGUCA